rnacentral:rRNA from 1 species
UGGGGAAUAUUGGGCAAUGAGGAAACUCUUACCCAGCAAUGCCGCGUGAAUGAAGAAGGCCUUUUGGUUGUAAAGUUCUUUAGUCAGGGACGAAAAAAUGACGGUACCUGAAGAAUAAGCUCCGGCUAACUACGUGCCAGCAGCCGCGGUAAUACGUAGGGAGCGAGCGUUGUCCGGAAUGACUGGGCGUAAAGGGUGUGUAGGUGGUUUGGCAAGUUAGAAGUGUAAUACCUGAGCUUAACUUAGGUGCUGCUUUUAAAACUGUUAGACUUGAGUGCAGUAGAGGUUAGUGGAAUUCCUAGUGUAGCGGUGGAAUGCGUAGAUAUUAGGAGGAACACCAGAGGCGAAGGCGGCUAACUGGACUGUAACUGACACUGAAACACGAAAGUGUGGGGAGCAAACAGGAUUAGAUACCCUGGUAGU